AUGGACAGUGGAGACGAGUUUUUCUUCCAUCACUUCCUUUGUUCAUCGGAUGAUUCGUCGUCGGAUGAUGACGAUCAUGUGGUGGCUGCACUAGUCGUUCACGACCAUAUUCAACGGCAGCUUCCUCGGUAUAGGGGGUCAGUCCCUGGCCGUGCUCCCAACCUGAACCGCAACAGGGAGAGAGGCCACGCCCUGCUCUAUGCCGAUUACUUUGCCAACACCCCGCUCUUCAGGCCGGAUAAAUUUCGUCGCCGUUUUCGUAUGGCAAGGCAUGUGUUCAAUCGUAUCCGAGAGGGAGUGGUUGCUCAUGACCCAUACUUCAAGUGCAAGACGGAUGCCCUUGGCAAGCUUGGAUUCUCCUCCUACCAGAAAUGCACCGCGGCCAUCCGCAUGCUUGCAUAUGGAAUUCCAGGCGAUUUGGCGGAUGAGUAUGUGCGUAUGAGUGAGACAACAUGUCUGAUGUCAAUGUACAAGUUUUGCCAGGCUGUGAUCGAGGUCUUUGGCCCAGAGUACUUGAGGCAGCCAACUGCCGCUGAUACAGAGAGAUUGUUGGCGACCAACGCAGCUAGAGGCUUUCCAGGUAUGCUUGGCAGCAUAGAUUGUAUGCACUGGGAGUGGAACAACUGUCCAUUUGCUUGGCAGGGCCAGUACAAGGGGCAUGUUAACGGGUGCACUGUCAUAUUAGAAGCGGUGGCAUCACAAGAUCUUUGGAUAUGGCAUUCUUUUUUCGGCAUGGCAGGUUCGCACAAUGAUAUCAACGUGCUGCAGCGUUCUCCAGUCUUCGCGAGGCUUGCAGAAGGCCACUCCCCACCUGUCAACUUUGAGAUCAACGACCAUCAUUACAACAAGAGAUACUAUCUAGCAGAUGGUAUAUAUCCUCAGUGA
rnacentral:rRNA from 1 species